AACUAAGCUUUAGCAUGUCGCCAGUACUGUGUUACCUGACUAGAAACUGACAAUUACCAUUUUUACAUACUCCACGAUGCGCUACUGGCAUGAAUGAUGGUGUUUAAUGAUUGAAACUUAAAAUAGCCAUAACUUCUUACCUUGUAAUCAGAUUUAGGCUAAUCUUAUAUCGUUUGAAAUCUAAUUCAAUUUCCUAUGCAAUAGCAGGCACUAAACUAAAAAAUACUGGAUA
rnacentral:lncRNA from 1 species